rnacentral:rRNA from 1 species
AGUGAACGCUGGCGGUAGGCCUAACACAUGCAAGUCGAACGAGUGGCGGACGGGUGAGGAAUACAUCGGAAUCUACUCUGUCGAGGGGGAUAACGUAGGGAAACUUACGCUAAUACCGCAUACGAUUGAAUGAGCCGAGGUCGGAUUAGAUAGUGGGCGGGGUAAAGGCCACCCAAGGGGACGAUCCGUAGCUGGGCUGAGAGGAUGAUGAGCCACACUGGAACUGAGACACGGUCCAGACUCCUGCGGGAGGCAGCAGUGGGGAAUAUUGGACAAUGGGCGCAAGCCUGAUCCAGCCAUACCGCGUGGGUGAAGAAGGCCUUCGGGUUGUAAAGCCCUUUUGUUGGGAAAGCGUUACCCAAAGAAUAAGCACCGGCUAACUUCGUGCCAGCCGCCGCGGUAAUUC